GUCUGGGUUUAAAGAAAAUUAGGUUAGCAUUCCCUUCGACAGGAAUGGAAAAAAUUCUGGUGACCUAACACCACACACAGUCAUUUAAGAUUUCAGCCCCUCUUUGUUGCCCUCUAACAAUGUAUUUUU